rnacentral:rRNA from 1 species
CUUUACUGUAGCCUGGAAUUGGGUUCGGGCUUUGACUGCGCGGGAUAGGUGGGAGACUAUGAGACAUCCCUUGUGGGGGAUGUGGAGUCAUCAGUGAGAUACCACUCUGUCAAGGCUAGAAUUCUAACUCAUUGCCGUGAUCCGGCAUGGGAACAGUUUCAGGUGGGCAGUUUGACUGGGGCGGUCGCCUCCUAAACGAUAACGGAGGCGCACAAAGGUUCCCUCAGGCUGGUUGGAAAUCAGCCGAAGAGUGUAAAGGCACAAGGGAGCUUGACUGUGAGACUGACAAGUCGAGCAGGGUGGAAACACGGUCUUAGUGAUCCGACGGCACUGAGUGGAAGGGCCGUCGCUCAACGGAUAAAAGUUA